rnacentral:rRNA from 1 species
UACGGAGGGUGCAAGCGUUAUCCGGAUUCACUGGGUUUAAAGGGUGCGUAGGCGGCUAUGUAAGUCCGUGGUGAAAUCUCUGGGCUUAACCCGGAAACUGCCAUGGAUACUAUGUGUCUUGAAUGUUGUUGAGGUGAGCGGAAUAUGUCAUGUAGCGGUGAAAUGCUUAGAUAUGACAUAGAACACCAAUUGCGAAGGCAGCUCACUAAGCAAAUAUUGACGCUGAGGCACGAAAGCGUGGGGAGCAAACAGG